GUCCUUUGGAGGAACAGACCAUAGCUUUGUAAGUUUUAAUCUCCUGUGCCCAGCUCAGUGCAUGGCAGAAGGCAAUUGCCUGGUCUGUGGUGGAGGUGCUGGUUAUUUUUGGUGUAGAUGUUACCUUUAUCAUGGUAGGGAUGGGAGGCUCAGCCUGACCAAAACACCGGGCAGGGUACAGGAUGGCUGGGAAGCUGCUGAUAAGGCUCUGCCAGCAUUACAGCCCCAGCCCUGGUGAUCACCGUGAUCCCUGAUCGCCGUCGCACUGGCUGGUUCUGGGGGUCUGGGCGCUGGUCAUGCCGGUCGCGCCGGGUCUGGCCACCGGGUGGCACCCACGCUCCACAAAUGCUGCCACCGCGCUGGGCUCGGUCUCCGCUAGGCUCUGCUUGGGAACCAGGGGAGGCAGGGGCUGCAGGAGGUCCAGCGCUGCCCUAGUCCCAGCCCCUGGCUCUCUGAGCCAUGAGUUGACAUUCGUCCCCACUAGGCCUUCUUCCUCAAGCCUUUGUGUUUAUUCUGUUCCCUGCAGACCGAGUGAUGCCCCUUCUCCCAGGCGGCCUGUCUGCCCAUCAGGAGGCCCAGCGCGGCCAGACAGUGAGCCACGAGCACCCUCAGCCCUGGAGCCCGCCCAGUGGUGUUUACAGGAGGCCGGGUCUGGGAACACCUGUUGUCCAGGCAGCCUCCUGCUGUCCUGCCUCCCUACACCCAGCUCACCAUCAGAAAUGCCAUGUUUCUGCCUGUCCUCGUUAUGGCCAGCACUAACUGGCUUUUGCCCCCCGAGUAACACAUCAACUACAAGAAACAGAGAAAUUUUCUGUUUAGGGAAGGUGAAUGAACAGCUGAUCCGGGUGUGGGAGGGCAAAUAGCUUGAGGGCAGCGUGGAAGAAUCAUCCCUAGCCAGGCACCUCCCGGAGAUGGAGUCAAUUUUCUGAGUGUAGCAUGGACCUUCCUCCCAACACCCAGAUGGAAUGUCACUAGACCCUUCCCGCGGGCACCGUGCCCAGUGCCAGCGACUGGAUUGACAUCUUCAAGGUGGAGGCUGCCUGUGUUCUGGAUUACCACACGUUUGUCUGGUCUUCAGUGCCGGAAAAUGCAGCUGCCGGCUCCCCUGUCCACACCAGUGUCCAGUUCCAAGCCAGCUACCUGCCCAAACCCAGAGCCCAGCUCUACCAAUUCUGGUAGGUGAACUGCCAGGGCUGGGUGUGUGGGCAGAGUCCCCCUUUGCAGUUCCGAGAGCCAAGGCCCACGGAUGAACUGGUGACCCUGGAGGAGACUGAUGGUGACGCUGACAUCCUGCUGGUUGUCCCCAAGGCCACUGUGCUGCAGAACCAGCUGGAUGAGAGCCAGCAAGAGAGGAAUGACCUGAUGCAGCUGAAGCUGCAGCUGGAGGGACAGGUGAGGGAGCUGAAGAAUCAAGUACAGGUUCUCAGGCGGCCCUGGCGACUGCCAGGAGGAGCACGCGGAGCUCAGGGAGCAGUACAAGGGGCUCGCCCGGUCCCACGGGACCUCGUAGAAGAGAGGGACAUCCUGAGCCGACAACAGGGAGGCCAUGUGGCACGCGUCCUUGAGCUGGAAGAUGACAUCCGGACCAUCAGUGAGAAAGUGCUGACAAAGGAGGUGGAGUUGGACAGGGUGAGGACACGGUGAGGGACACGGUGAAGGCCCUAACUGGGGAACAAGAGAGGCUCCUUGGGCAGCUGAAAGAAGUGCGAGCACAGGGAGCCAAGUGAGGCUGAGCUCCAGAGGGCACCACAGGAAAUCCAUCGCUUAACUUGGGAGCUGCAGGAAGCAAAGGGCCGGCAGGAGGAACAGGGUGCUCGGGCCCAGCGACUGCAGGACAAGGUGGCCCCGAUGAAGGACACCUGGGCCAGGCCCAGCAGCGUGUGGCCGAGCUGGAGCCCCAGGGAGCAUCUUGGAGGAGCCCCGGAGCUCGCAGCCUCGCGUCAGCACGAGGCCGCCCUUCGGGG
rnacentral:lncRNA from 1 species